CCUACGGGCGGCAGCAGUGGGGAAUAUUGCACAAUGGGGGAAACCCUGAUGCAGCGACGCCGCGUGAGUGAAGAAGUAUUUCGGUACGUAAAGCUCUAUCAGCAGGGAAGAAAAUGACGUUACCUGACUAAGAAGCCCCGGCUAACUACGUGCCAGCAGCCGCGGUAAUACGUAGGGGGCAAGCGUUAUCCGGAUUUACUGGGUGUAAAGGGAGCGUAGACGGCAGCGCAAGUCUGGAGUGAAAUCCCAUGGCUUAACCAUGGAACUGCUUUGGAAACUGCGCAGCUAGAGUGCAGGAGAGGUAAGUGGAAUUCCUAGUGUAGCGGUGAAAUGCGUAGAUAUUAGGAGGAACACCAGUGGCGAAGGCGGCUUACUGGACUGUAACUGACGUUGAGGCUCGAAAGCGUGGGGAGCAAACAGGAUUAGAUACCCUGGUAGUC
rnacentral:rRNA from 1 species